rnacentral:misc_RNA from 1 species
ACCGAUGAUGGCGACUAUCAGGUCAAACUACGCAACCUGAUUCGCUUUCUGGAAGAUGGCGAUAAAGCCAAAAUCACUCUGCGAUUCCGUGGACGUGAGAUGGCGCACCAACAGAUCGGCAUGGAAGUUCUUAACCGUGUCAAAAAAGAUCUGACUGAGGAUUCUGAUUUGGCUGUAGUGGAGUCUUUCCCGACUCGUAUCGAAGGUCGUCAGAUGAUCAUGGUGCUCGCACCUAAGAAGAGACAGUAAGGCAUUCAAGUAAUAGGCCUCUCUUUGCUUGCAAAGUAGAAGGUCUAUUCGCCUAGCUAGCUCGUUGUAAUUAACAAUGCGAAGUGGAUAUAUUCAAUGCCAA